GGUGUGGAUAGGGGAGAAAUUCCAAUCGAACCCGGAGAUAGCUGGUUCUCCUCGAAAUAGCUUUAGGGCUAGCCUCGAUUUAGUCUUAUGGAGGUAGAGCACUGAAUUUCCGCGGGGGCGUCAAAGCUUACCAAAGAAUAUCAAACUCCGAAUGCCAUGUAGAUGAUGAUCGGGAGUCAGACUGCACGAGAUAAGUUGGGCAGUCAAAAGGGAAAGAGCCCAGACCACCGGCUAAGGUCCCAAAGUGCGUGUUAAGUGGAAAAGGAUGUGGGAAUUCGAAGACAACUAGGAUGUUGGCUCAGAAGCAGCCAUACAUUCAAAGAGUGCGUAACAGCUCACUAGUCGAGAGUUCCUGCGCCGAAAAUGUCCGGGGCUGAAACACGACACCGAAGCCGUGGACUCGCAAUGCGAGUGGUAGAGGAGCAUUCUUAAAACCGACGAAGCUGUACCGAAAGGAGCAGUGGAGGGAUAAGAAGAGAGAAUGCCGGAAUGAGUAGCGAGAGAAAGGUGGGAAUCCUUUCGGCCGAAUAUCUAAGGUUUCCAGAGUAAAGCUGAUCUGCUCUGGGUAAGUCGGGGCCUAAGCACAGGUCGCAAGACGUAAGCGAUGGAUAACAGGUUUAGAUUCCUGUACCACGCAUUAUCAGAACUGUAGGGACGCAUGUGGAAAGCACGAGCCGGGAAUGGAAAGACCGGUACAAGCGGGGUAGGUGUACAAUAGGCAAAUCCGUUGUAUAAUCCGAAGACGUGAUGUGGAGCGAAAUAAAGUAGCGAAGCGUGUGAGCCAUGUGCCGAGAAAAGCUGCUAUUGUGUAAUGCGUGCCCGUACCGUAAACCGACACAGGUGGAUGAGGAGAGAAUCCUAAGGCCGACGGAAGAAGCAUUGUUAAGGAAUUCGGCAAAAUGACCCCGUAACUUCGGGAGAAGGGGUGCCUGCGAGAGCAGGCCGCAGAGAAUAGGCUCAAGCAACUGUUUAGCAAAAACACAGGUCUAUGCGAAACCGAAAGGUGAGGUAUAUGGGCUGACGCCUGCCCGGUGCUGGAAGGUUAAGAGGAGAGGUUAGCGCAAGCGAAGCUUUGAAUUUAAGCCCCAGUAAACGGCGGCCGUAACUAUAACGGUCCUAAGGUAGCGAAAUUCCUUGUCGGGUAAGUUCCGACCCGCACGAAAGGCGUAAUGAUUUGAGCACUGUCUCGACAAUGCAUCCGGUGAAAUUGAAGUACCAGUGAAGAUGCUGGUUACCCGCGCCAGGACGGAAAGACCCCAUGGAGCUUUACUCCAGUUUGAUACUGGGAUUCGGUACUGCAUGUACAGGAUAGGUGGGAGACGAAGAAGGAUGGACGCCAGUCUGUCCGGAGUCGCUGUUGGGAUACCACCCCUGUAGUACUGGGUUUCUAACCAGUCACCGUGAACCGGUGAUGGGACAAUGUCAGGCGGGGAGUUUGACUGGGGCGGUCGCCUCCGAAAGGGUAUCGGAGGCGCUCAAAGGUUCCCUCAGAAUGGUUGGAAACCAUUUGAAGAGUGCAAAGGCAGAAGGGAGCUUGACUGCGACACCGACGGGUGGAGCAGGUACGAAAGUAGGACUUAGUGAUCCGGUGGUAUAAAGUGGGAUUGCCAUCGCUCAACGGAUAAAAGCUACCCUGGGGAUAACAGGCUUAUCACUCCCAAGAGUUCACAUCGACGGAGUGGUUUGGCACCUCGAUGUCGGCUCAUCGCAUCCUGGGGCUGUAGUAGGUCCCAAGGGUUGGGCUGUUCGCCCAUUAAAGCGGUACGCGAGCUGGGUUCAGAACGUCGUGAGACAGUUCGGUCCCUAUCCGGCGCGGGCGGAGGAUAUUUGAGAGGAGCUGUCCUUAGUACGAGAGGACCGGGAUGGACGGACCACUGGUGUAUCUGUUGUCGACCAACGGCAUGGCAGAGUAGCCAAGUCUGGAAGGGAUAAACGCUGAAGGCAUCUAAGCGUGAAGCCCCCCUCAAGAUGAGAUAUCCCUCCUUCGGGAGUAAGACCCCUUGAAGACUACAAGGUAGAUAGGGCAGAGGUGGAAGCAUGGCAACAUGUGGAGCUGACUGUUACUAAUAGGUCGAGGGCUUAAUCU
rnacentral:rRNA from 1 species